rnacentral:antisense_RNA from 1 species
CUUCAGCGAGCCCAGCAACAGCGGCCGUUCCCGAUCCUGUCCGUACGCCGCCAGCACCGCCUGCGCCUC